UGGGGAAUUUUGGACAAUGGGCGCAAGCCUGAUCCAGCCAUGCCGCGUGAGUGAAGAAGGCCUUCGGGUUGUAAAGCUCUUUCGGACGGGAAGAAAUGGCGGGCUCUAACGUAGCCUGUCGAUGACGGUACCGUAAGAAGAAGCACCGGCUAACUACGUGCCAGCAGCCGCGGUAAUACGGAGGGUGCAAGCGUUAAUCGGAAUUACUGGGCGUAAAGCGUGCGCAGGCGGUUUGUUAAGUCUGCUGUGAAAUCCCCGAGCUCAACGUGGGAAUUGCAGUGGAUACUGGCAAGCUGGAGUACGGUAGAGGAAGGGGGAAUUCCCGGUGUAGCAGUGAAAUGCGUAGAGAUCGGGAGGAACACCAGUGGCGAAGGCGGCCUUCUGGACCAGUACUGACGCUCAUGCACGAAAGCGUGGGGAGCAAACA
rnacentral:rRNA from 1 species